rnacentral:lncRNA from 1 species
AUGAAUUUUGGUUAUGCUGAUUAUGAGAAAAUGUUUAGACUUUACUUGCUUUAUAUAUACAAAGUUGCAAAUGAGGGAGAUAGUGUAUUAAUUGAUUAAAAGAUGAAAUUAACAGAUUAAGUGCUUUGUGUAACUAGAAAUGACAGUUAGGUUUGUUAUGGUUUGUUAGUAGUUGGUUAUUUUCUGUUUAAGUAGUUAGGAUUGUUUGUAAGACAAAGUUAGUUAUUUGUGUUCCACUCUCUCAUAAUCCAGCAGUCAGUUAUGGUUUGUUAGUUGGAAAGUUGUGAAAUGCACAUAUGACAGAAACAAGUAGUAAUUAGUUUCACAGAAGAUAUAUCCUAUACUAUUUUGACAUUAAUUUGUAUUUUAUUUUUGUCAUUAAUGAAAUAUUUUUACUUAGACCAAGUAAUGUUGAAUUUUUAUAGUGAUAAAAAGUUAUUUAAUGAUAGUGAAUGAUUUAUAAUAGUAGAGAAGUGAACACUGAACAAUGCAUGCUAAUCACAAGAUUGGAAAUUUUCUUCUUCACACCACAUGGCUGAAGAGGAAAAUAAAUGUUUUUUCAAUGGUCAUUUGAAUCCUUUUAGAUUUGUAGAUUAUAGAUUAUAGUUUGAAAAAUAUACUGCCAAACCUAACAACUAUACAUAAAAACAAAACAAGAUCAUCCAUAAAACCAUAUACCAUUAAAGAAAUACAAUCCAAACAACCAUACAUAAGUUUUUUCACAUCAACCACAAUCAAGAGAAAAUCAUUAAGUAAAAUCAUUAAGUGCUUGCAAAU